GGGUGAUUAGCUCAGUUGGUAGAGCGGCGCCCUUACAAGGCGUAGGUCGGGAGUUCGAGCCUCUCAUCACCCA
rfam:Halothiobacillus neapolitanus c2, complete genome.